UGAGCACACAUCACUCACAUGAGUGACCAAACCCGCUGCACAGAGGAAGAGGCAGGAAGUUCCUUCUUUCACUUCCAGUCAUGCUGCAUUGGGCAGCUUGUGGUGGAACAGAAGGUCUCUGCAUGGUGGGCAGUGUGGGCGGACUUCGGGAUUCACCGUGAAAAACAAUAACGAGCCAAGGACACUUCCCAAGCAGGGGUUCAAAGAUAUCACUCUUCACAUGAAGGUCAAAACGUGUGGAAAGAUGCACUGAAGCCUUGACAUGAGUCAUAUGAAAGAGACUUUACAGCUUGCUGCAUCUACUUGACCAGCAGAUUUUCAUUGUUUCUUCUAUGGAUUUCUCUUGGAACCAAAGAAGCAAAGUCCAGUGUCUGGAUUGUGUCUGUUGACAAGCCCGCUGGAUGGCCUGUAGAAAGUACACACAACAACACCAGCACAGAGCAAAACUCCCUCAUUCACACUUUUACAUUUUCAUACGUUCAGAAUUGAAGAGAGACAGUGUUGUUCUUGUUGUUCCAUGUCUCUGGUCUGUUUGCUCUUUUCCAGGCGCUCAUGGGGCUGAUAUAUACGGGGCACCUCUGAGGCUCGUCUGACUGGGCCUGCCACUUGUGUUUUGUGUAGACGGAGCGAAAGGGAACGAGGAGACAAGGAUCAUGUCCUCUCUUGGAGAAGUGCUAACUUGGGCAGGGAAAGGAAUUUUUUGUGGUUUAUUCAGAGAGCGGCUCCAUCUGUGUAAACUGGCGCUUGCCAGGAUGUCGACUCCCUCGCUUUCUGCACAGACACACGCUUAACCCCUUCAACACCUUCUGCUCACCAUAUCUGCUAGUCACAGUCACAAACAAUUACACAGCUAACAAGAUAAUCUUACUUAAUAUUGCAAAGUAAAAAUUACAUCUUGCAAAAGCAGAAUCAACCAAAAACAAGACAAACCCUUUUGAAAAAGAAGUACACUACAGUAUACU
ensembl:lncRNA